CCUACGGGAGGCAGCAGUAGGGAAUUUUCCGCAAUGGGCGAAAGCCUGACGGAGCAAUACCGCGUGAGGGAUGACUGCCUAUGGGUUGUAAACCUCUUUUUUCAGGGAGGAAUAAAUGACGUGUACCUGAAGAAUAAGCAUCGGCUAACUCCGUGCCAGCAGCCGCGGUAAGACGGAGGAUGCAAGUGUUAUCCGGAAUCACUGGGCGUAAAGCGUCUGUAGGUGGCUCAACAAGUCAACUGUUAAAUCUUGAAGCUCAACUUCAAAAUCGCAGUCGAAACUAUUGAACUAGAGUAUAGUAGAGGUAAAGGGAAUUUCCAGUGGAGCGGUGAAAUGCGUAGAGAUUGGAAAGAACACCAAUGGCGAAGGCACUUUACUGGGCUAUUACUGACACUCAGAGACGAAAGCUAGGGUAGCAAAUGGGAUUAGAUACCCCAGUAGUCCUAGCCGUAAACAAUGGAUACUAGGUGUUGAACAGAUCGACCUGUGCAGUACUAAAGCUAACGCGUUAAGUAUCCCGCCUGGGAAGUAUGCACGCAAGUGUGAAACUCAAAGGAAUUGACGG
rnacentral:rRNA from 1 species